rnacentral:lncRNA from 1 species
CGCGUAUGUAGUGUUUGCCAUACCUGAUCAGCUGGGAAACCCUCUUCUGAAACUCUCUCCGGAGACGUGCCCAAGUACACAAAGGAUGGAUUGGAUGGUCGGAGACCGAAACAGUUGUGCCUGCCUAUGACUUCAUCGAGAAGUGUAUCUCGAUUUUUGUGAACAGACGACGGUCGAAAUGCAUUGCUUAACGAAAAGCUUCGCAUGAAAGGGAGAGAAAGACACGGACUUUUCGACCGACAGUCCGGGGGCAGUCCCUGCAAACACCGCAUGUACCGAUCGCGCGUACCCAGUUACAACUCACGCCGUCGUUUGUGGCAAGGAGACCAUCUGCCACAUUAAAGAGUGAUCCCCCCCAGUGACUAUCAAUUCAUGUGCUUUAGAAGUGGCCUUCGAACGUGACUCAACCUCCAGAACAGGAACGUCGAUCAAGGGAAUAUCGCGAAACUACAGAACCGGAACAGUGAUUCGGGAGAACUAAUGACUGCGACCUUCCUUCGCAGUCGUCAACCAGCGGUCUCUCACUUUUUGGAAGCAAUGCCCGAGGUCAGUUUCGACGCUUCGGGGUAAGGGAACAAGAGGCCGGAAUUCAGCGGUGGCAGGGGCGAUAAAAAACACGUCGUUUAUGACAGGGGGAUCAAAGUGUAAGAUUGGCACGUUCGACUUUCCGUCACCCGCUCUCGCUGUUGCUCCUCCUGGGGAAGGAUGAUCCUGUGAUCCAAGCAAAGCUGCGACCAGUUUUUGAUCGCUUUGUUCAAGGCGCCAAGCUGAGGGCGGGAUGGGAUGUUCGCGCAGGCCCAUGAUCUGGUAGUCUACUUGCGGAAUCGGUUUUAGAUCGCUGUAUUCUUUUACGCAUUGUAUAAGGUCCGAAACAUUUGUUCGUUCUUUCACAAAAAACCAGGGAGGGACAGCGUGGGUCGUUGCUGGAAUCUGAAACAGCCGUUGCACUGUUGUGGACCGACGGAAGAGAACAGGGGGGACCAACCCCUUAGAUACGUCAGCUUGCUCUCCACGCUGCCUAUUGUCACGAGAAAACUUCGUUACCGAACCAUUUCGCGCUAAAUCAGUUGUCGACGACGUAGAAGUUGACGAGGAACGCUGGAGCGACACAGCUUGUUUAAGGGUUGCCAGACGGCGAAGUAAUCUGUUUUUCUUGAUUGUGGAGGUUACCGCCAGCACAAACCGAUAUUUGCACCACCUUCUCAACGCAAACGAGUUAUUCAUGGAUUCGUCCAUGACCGUUGAGGGCGCGUGAGCUUGCUUGGGUAACCAACGCGCGGAUACUACUACUGGCUCGGUCGAGAAUUCACACACAUCUCGGAUUUGAUCUUGCAAGGAGCACUGCCUCCAAACCUUCUCAAUAUCAAAUUGCCGACGAGCGAUUAAUCGUUGGUUUCUUGACUCAUUCGGAGGAUACUCCCCAGUGUUUAUCAUGACCGUCUUAUGUUUCCGCCUGUGAAACUGUGCAGCGUCUUUCCAUCGUUUCUCAAACCGCGCUUUUCUGCUGUCACUUUCAGUGUCGCCAGCUGUGUGACUCAAGUCUGAUCCAGAAAAAAAACUACGACUGUCAGGCGAUUGCGCGACCUUGGUAGACUGAAUUUCAUGUGUUGGUGAUGCAGCGUCAGCUCUGCCCCUCUGUACGCGUGAGAACUUUCCCAGCUUUUUGCCUAUUUGCUGGGUAAAUACCCCGUUCCACACGGCGUGACCUUCGGCAUUCGGGACCAUAACACCAUUGUAAACUACGUGAUUCGGCUUCUCACAACAAUUGCUGCGUUUCUGGCCUGACGGAUGCUGCGC